GCCGAGCUUGGUAACGUGAGCUUGUGACCCAAGUGGGGGCAUCAAGGUGGUGGAACAUUGGUUCGACUCUCUGAGUCGGGUCCACAGUGGUCCUUCGGUGGCUUGCCCGUUCCAAGCCAAGAGUUGAGCCAUGGGACUUGAGUGAAGACUCUGGGUGUCGUGGCUCCUAGAGUGGUGGGUACUGCGUGAGGCUGGUUUCACAGAGCAGCGAAGACCACCCGCUCUUGGCAGUGGAAGGAUAACAGGCUUUCGCCACUUGGAUCCAACAUGGCCCAGCGAGCCGUUCCUAAUUGGACCAUCACCUUU
rfam:Corchorus olitorius cultivar O-4 contig19698, whole genome shotgun sequence.